rnacentral:rRNA from 1 species
GUUGAACGCUGGCGGCAGGCUUAACACAUGCAAGUCGAGCGGGGUGAUGGUGCUUGCACUAUCACUUAGCGGCGGACGGGUGAGUAAUGCUUAGGAAUCUGCCUAUUAGUGGGGGACAACAUCUCGAAAGGGAUGCUAAUACCGCAUACGUCCUACGGGAGAAAGCAGGGGAUCACUAGUGACCUUUCGCUAAUAGAUGAGCCUAAGUCGGAUUAGCUAGUUGGUGGGGUAAAGGCCUACCAAGGCGACGAUCUGUAGCGGGUCUGAGAGGAUGAUCCGCCACACUGGGACUGAGACACGGCCCAGACUCCUACGGGAGGCAGCAGUGGGGAAUAUUGGACAAUGGGGGGAACCCUGAUCCAGCCAUGCCGCGUGUGUGAAGAAGGCCUUAUGGUUGUAAAGCACCUUAAGCGAGGAGGAGGCUCUUUUGGUUAAUACCCAAGAUGAGUGGACGUUACUCGCAGAAUAAGCACCGGCUAACUCUGUGCCAGCCGCCGCCGUAA